UAGUCAUAUGCUUGUCUCAAAGAUUAAGCCAUGCAUGUCUAAGUAUAAGCAAUCUAUACGGUGAAACUGCGAAUGGCUCAUUAAAUCAGUUAUCGUUUAUUUGAUAGUACCUUACUACUUGGAUAACCGUGGUAAUUCUAGAGCUAAUACAUGCUAAAAACCUCGACUUCGGAAGGGGUGUAUUUAUUAGAUAAAAAACCAAUGCCCUUCGGGGCUCCCUGGUGAUUCAUAAUAACUUAACGAAUCGCAUGGCCUUGUGCCGGCGAUGGUUCAUUCAAAUUUCUGCCCUAUCAACUUUCGAUGGUAGGAUAGUGGCCUACCAUGGUUUCAACGGGUAACGGGGAAUUAGGGUUCUAUUCCGGAGAGGGAGCCUGAGAAACGGCUGCCACAUCCAAGGAAGGCAGCAGGCGCGCAAAUUACCCAAUCCCGACACGGGGAGGUAGUGACAAUAAAUACUGAUACAGGGCUCAUUUGGGUCUUGUAAUUGGAAUGAGUACAAUUUAAAUCCCUUAACGAGGAACAAUU
rnacentral:rRNA from 1 species